UCCUACGGGAGGCAGCAGUGGGGAAUAUUGGACAAUGGGGGGAACCCUGAUCCAGCCAUGCCGCGUGUGUGAAGAAGGCCUUAUGGUUGUAAAGCACUUUAAGCGAGGAGGAGGCUACUGAGACUAAUACUCUUGGAUAGUGGACGUUACUCGCAGAAUAAGCACCGGCUAACUCUGUGCCAGCAGCCGCGGUAAU
rnacentral:rRNA from 2 species